rnacentral:pre_miRNA from 1 species
CAUCUACUCCCUCCGUCCGAAAAUACUUGUCAUCAAAAUAAACAAAAAAGGAUGUAUCUAGAACUAAAAUACAUCUAGAUACAUCGCCUUUUAUUCAUUUUGAUGACAAGUAUUUCCGGACGGAGGGAGUACAUA